AUUUCUUCCAUAUAUCUGAAGUGAGGUGAUUAAAUCCUAAGAUCACCUUGGCAACCCUGGCAUUAUUAGCGAGAUGUGUAUUAUAUUUUUAGUUGGCAGUUACACAGCGUGGCGGGUGGCAUAAUGUUAGUAAUUAUGUAAAAGGCACGAAUAAUGCAAGCAGCGAACCGUGACAUUGGAACACAGGAAUUUCGCAAACUUGGAAUGGAUUCAUUUGGACUGAGCAUCAUUAACUGAAUAUUUGAUAUAUCCGUUGGCUUUCUUUGAAAAUUGCAAUUGUAGCGGCAUUAAUUCAUGUAAAAAAU